rnacentral:rRNA from 1 species
CCUACGGGUGGCAGCAGUGGGGAAUAUUGGACAAUGGGGGGAACCCUGAUCCAGCGACGCCGCGUGAGUGAAGAAGUAUUUCGGUAUGUAAAGCUCUAUCAGCAGGGAAGAAAAUGACGGUACCUGACUACGAAGCCCCGGCUAACUACGUACCAGGAGCCGGGGCAAUACGUCGGGGGCAAGCGUUAUCCGGAUUUACUGGGUGUUAAGGGAGCGUAGACGGUGCAGCAAGUCUGAUGUGAAAGGUCGGGGCCCAACCCCGGGACUGCAUUGGAAACUGUUGGACUGGAGUACAGGAGAGGUAAGCGGAAUUCGUAGUGUAGCGGUGAAAUGCGUAGAUAUUAGGAGGAACACCAGUGGCGAAGGCGGCGUACUGGACUGUAACUGACGUUGAGGCUCGAAAGCGUGGGGAGCGAACAGGAUUAGAUACCCUUGUAGUC